UGUGUGAUACUCGAGCCCAUGCAAGA
rnacentral:piRNA from 1 species